UACGUAGGGGGCUAGCGUUGUCCGGAGUUAUUGGGCGUAAAGAGCGUGUAGGCGGCCAGGUAGGUCUGCUGUGAAAACUCGAGGCUCAACCUCGAGAUGUCGGCGGAAACCAUCUGGCUAGAGUCCGGAAGAGGAAAGUGGAAUUCCUGGUGUAGCGGUGAAAUGCGCAGAUAUCAGGAAGAACACCCGUGGCGAAGGCGGCUUUCUGGGACGGUACUGACGCUGAGACGCGAAAGCGUGGGGAGCGAACAGG
rnacentral:rRNA from 1 species